GAAUUCUCAUAGCAUGGAGCAGUGGACGGUGGGGUUAGUGGUGCCUGGGGUUGAGAAGACCAUGGAGAGACACACAGAAGUGUAUCCGGCUUCCAGAACAUUCUAUAUCACAGGCAAUGUGCCCAUCAAAUCUGGACUUCAGCCACCCCAUGGUUCCCUUUAAAUGGUUCAUCUUCCUGAAAGAUCUGUGUGUGUUAUUAAGAAUUUAACAUCAAAAAAACACUUCUAAUCCAGAGCUGAUGGUGGAGAGAGGGACCCCAUAGGCAGCUCAUGGUUCCUACUCUGCUGGUUCUCCAGCAGCACCCUCGUGUCCUCCAGGUCCCAGGUGAGGUGGUGACACUUCCUCUUCAGUUGGUCAGAAGCUGGGGGAGAGAGGACCUCAGAGGAGUUCCUGUCAGUGUCAGGACGCCGCUUCCCCAAGCCCCACUUUGCUGGGAGGUAAUUCCCAGCUCACUCUGUGGUCAGUCCAUCAGCCUCGCCUCGGCCAACCUCCUGCCCUGCACUCUUAAUUCAUUUUUUCCUUGCCCUGCCUUGACUUGACAGUUGGACUGGCAGCUGACGGAUGGCUCUAUCAUCUGGGGAGGCUUGUGAAGAUUAACUUCAGAGUCACAAAGAGGAAACUCCCGGCCACUCAGGGCGGCCCCACGAGACCAAGCGUUGUGUGGGUCCAUACAUAGUGUGGGCUGAAACCCAC
rnacentral:lncRNA from 1 species